rnacentral:tRNA from 1 species
GUAAAUAUAGUUUAAAAAAACAUUAGACUGUGAAUCUAAAAACAGAAGCAUUUACUUCUUAUUUACC